GCCAGGCUCGCUGGGCAGCGCCUCCUCCCGGAGGUCCCUCCGCUGGUUCCUUCAUUCCGCUGGUUCCUUCAUUCCGCUGGUUCCUUCAUUUCGCUGAAUGGAGAUAUUCUCAACAUGGGAUGUGCAUCUAAGUUAUGAAGCAUAACAAUUAAAUAACAUCCAUAAACCCAUGACCUCAUGCAGAAUGAAACAUUUCUAGUCCUGUGGAAGCUACAGGACUGCUGGAAUUUCUUCUCUGAUCCAGUCCCCUUGCUUCGCAACAGAGGUUCCUGCUUCUCCACGCCAAUGACGUGGUGAGAGAAUAGAGGGGGAGCUGAAGACAAACAACAUAAACUUAUGUUUGAAAAGCACCUUUUACUCUAUGAAAUAAAGUGAGUGUAAGCAGUAAAUGGAACAACAAGCUUUCAGAGUCACUGCAGGGCAAGAGCUGGGGAGGGAAGAGCUGGCUGGUCAGGGAGGAUGCACUGGAGAGAAAAAACAUCACUCAAUUGGCCAGGACAUCAGGGAGACCACACAAUAGCCAGAGUGUCUCUUUUCCUCCAAAUGACCGCAACACCUCUCCAGCAAGAGCACAGAACUGGGCUGAGGCUGAGUAUUGCUGAGGCAAUACCAUUUAGAACAUAGGCACGGGUAAGGAUUUCAUGACAAAAACGCCAAAAGCAAUUGCAACCAAAGCAAAAAUUGAUAAAUGGGAUCUAAUUGAACCUAAGAGCUUCUGCAUAGCAAAAGAAACUAUCAUCAGAGUGAACAGACAGCCUACAGAAUGGGAGACAAUUUUUGCAAUCUGUCUGUCUGACAAAGGCCUAAUAUCCAGAAUCUGUAAGGAACUUAAACAAAUUUACAAGGAAAAAAACAAACA
rnacentral:lncRNA from 1 species